ensembl:miRNA
UAAGGUGCAUCUAGUGUAGUUAGUGAAGUAUUCAAAGUCUACUGCCCUAGUUGCCCCUUCUGUCU